GCUUAAACUGCUUCCUGUUCAAGUAGUUGCUUGUUUUGCCACAUGAGUGCUCUGAACAAAUGUCUCUGCUGAGGCAAUGUGCAGCUGCAAUUCCUGUUCACUGACAUCCUUGGCAGCAAAGGGACCCUGGAGAUGGGUAACUGCAGCAAGUCACUCUGAGGCUGGAUGAGCAACAGUGUCCUGGGUCCUGCCUGCCCAUGCCAUGGGACUCUGUGUAUUCCUGAGAGCACUUGCAGUGGCUGUGGGAAUUAUGAGAUUUGCCAAGCACUGUUCUAAUUGCCUUGCUGAAGGCUGCAUGCUCUGGCUUAAGCAUAGCACUUUUCCCUUUCCCUUGAUGGGUAAACAAAUUCCACCUUCAACAUCCUAUUUGUAUCAUCCAGGAAAUUGCUGAUCAUCAGGUUUCAGCCCAAGUGUGACCCAAGUCAGAGCCUCACAUACGUAUCUGUAUCUAAACAUCUCGCUUCAGUGAACACCCAUGUGUCUGAAGCCAAACAAAGCAAGGAUUUGAGCAAAAGCGUGCACUCCUUAGUUUCCUCAUGUUGGCAUUUGCAUACCUCCUCACACACACUUUCACCAUUCAGGAAUAUCUGUCUUUCUUCAAAUAGCAUACUUUCUUUCUCUGCUACUGCUAAAAACCUAUUUCUUCUGCCAGAAAUGCUCUAAACCCGCUGCACUGUUAAGAGCUGGUUGCUGUAACUUAGCUUAGGGACCCAGGUUUCUGUUGUAAUUACAUCUUUGUAUCAAGUGCAGCUCCUGUGUCUGUAGCCUCAUGUCAGUAAAAUGGGCUGUUGCCAGUAAAGUCAAUAUGAUCUGAGAUUCUAGUGUAAAGCUUCAGAUUGGGUCCCACCCCUAUCCAAACAGUGCAGCAGAGGAACUGUCUGCUGUGUGAUUAACAGUCACAUAAAAGGGUGACGAGAAAGCAUAAGAGAAUUCUAAAUUAGUCAGAUGUUGACUGUGAGGGUCAGAAUUAAGUCACAAUUUACACACAUAUUUUGCAAUUAGUGUUGAUGGGAAAGGAAGUGAAAACAUGGAGCAAUUAAAUGUGGCUGUGUUAGAUUCUUCUGUUAAAUGUACCCAGAUGUUGUGGGGACUUCGGCUGAUAUUCAGUAUUUAAACCACAAACAAAUACCCAGGAAGACUGAGGUUGUGCUCUAAAAUAUGUCACUCUUCAUAAGCUAUUUGGACACAAUCAAAUGGAAAAGGGUCCUAAGACUCAGUGACACCUGAGCUGUUUGAUGUAAAGGGGGGGAUAUGACAGUAAACUGUCUUAGGUGUCUCUAUUUCUAUCUCAACUUUUCUAAUGAAAAAUUAAGGCAUCUCUUCAAGUUAGAAAAUAACCCUUCCAGUUUCUGAGAAAGACAGACUUCCUGGUGAUUAUUCCAGAGCCUGACUUCAAGGCAGGGCCUCUUAAGUAGAAAAUUGUGAUCAUAUUAUAUGAAUAAGCAGGAAAUCACAGUCAGUCAAGGCCCCAUAAAGAGAAAAGCUUUGAGUUACUGAAAAAAAUCUUCAACCUACAAUGGCAGUCUGUUCUCCCACCUGCUGUUCUGGUUAUGUUCUGCUCUGGCAGAUGCUAUCAAUAGGUUUGUCAUUUGGUGAUGGAUCAGGCCUCUGUUGAAACUUCUCUGCUGCCAGAAAUGAGUGUGCCCCUUCUUUCAGCCCAGUUGUGACAGCAGAUGAGGAAAGCCCAAGGUGCUGAGCCUGAAUGUUAAGGAAGGUACAUUUUUUACUGCUUGGUUCUGUUGUUCUGCAGUUGGCUUAUGUUAGAGCUGAUACAAAGAUCUGCUGACUAUCACAUGUCUGCCAAGGCUUUUAAUCAAGACUCAGGGCAACAGAUGGUAUAACCAGAAACUACAGAAUUAUUGUGAAAAUUAAAGGAAUAAAGAAAUUUCAGAAGACCUGUGUUCCUUUCUGAAAGAUGCUGGGUCCUAACAUUGUAGAGCAGCAUGAGGUGCUUAGGAAGGAAAAGUUGCCUACUUAUUAAUUAGCUCUUCCUGUGUCCAAUUAUCUGAAUACCAGCUGAGGAGUGACAGCUUAAGACUUGCAGUGACAAGCAAUCAUGUCAUAGACAGUUUAUCAAGAAGCCAUAAAAGCAGUCCAUCACUCUGACAAUCCUGGCACCAUGUGUGUGAAAGACCAAAUUCCACCGCACUGGAAUGUGCCCCAGGAAAGGACAAGCUAUUUGCUUCAAGCCUCUUCUCUCAGCUGGGGAUAGAUCCACUCUUCCUGCUUACACCACUGGUCAAGGCUGAACAGGGGAAGACAAACAUGGGGAGAAAAAAAACAAACAGGCAGACUUUAAUCCUAUAAAAUGAAAAGCCUCGAUAUUUACAGUGGGAUGGGAGAUGACACCAAGCAGGGGAAAGAAGGAAUAAUAUUGGCAAGGCAGACAAGCAAAUGAUAUUUCUGCACCACAAGAUGAGGAGGACUCAAUGACGUUUCUAGCAAAUCUGACCUAUUUGUCAUCUGUGUAGAGAGUUUGCGUCAGCCUUUGUAACAUGAACAAAUAUCUCAGGGGUGACACAGGGGUUUGUUUACACACACAGGUGCCAGUUAACAGCAGCUGAGGCUGGGCUUGCAUUUCAACAUGAGGAAAUCACUUCUCCACACCUGCUAAUGCUCCCCCCAUGCCUGGCUAUGGCUGAAUACACCUGCAGAUAGUUACACAAAUGAGGAACUGUAGAACCUGGGCUGUUGAUCUUCAGAGCUGGCAGAUGUUCCCAAAGUGACCCUGCUUAUGUGCUCAGAAAUAGAUUUAAAUCCAUUUCAUUCACACUGAUAAUUCAAAAUUACAUCCCCUCCCAGGCCUAUCUCCCCAGAAAAAAUCAAAUUGGAUUUUUUGCAGCCUCUGCUGUCCCCUGCUCUCCCAAGUGGCUUUUCACACCCAUAUCAGCUGCUAGCACAAGUGUCAUGACCUGGAUUCAAAGAUGCUUUCUAAACCCCUGAUUCCAUGGCCUACUUCCUGGCUAUGGAAAUGAGGCCAGGUGGAUUCUAUUUUAAAAGCCUGCUAAAGACCAUGGCUAAAAUAGCUGACAACAUUACCAGACCACUAGGGCUUAAAGGGUUUCACGGUGCCUCUGUGUCUGAGAGAUGUGCUGGCUUUAUCUCUGUGUUUUGUUUCAUUUACUAAUAGGAUUUUAAGAAUCUUACUGGUGUUGUGCCUCUCCCCUUCUCAUUCCCAGGCAGUUCCUCCCUUGAUUUUCGUGAAGAAUCUCUAGCCUUAUUACAGACCAGUUUGCCACUAACACUGCACCUUGGCUUUCUUCCACUACUAUACAGCAAAGAAGCUACAAGCAAUUUCCAAAUACCUCUAAAACCACAGCAAAUUGAGGAGAGGUGCUCAAUGAGAACAAGGACAGCAGGGCUCUCAUGAAACUCUCCCCCACAGCAGCUACAUUUAAAGUAUAAGGACAUACUUCUGCUUCCAAGUGCCUGGCCACACCAGAGCUAAAGCAUAAACUGGGUUUUACCUCCUAAAUGCAGAUAAUGCUUCCUAUUAAAGGAUUUGCUAGACUAGACCAUGAGACUGCCAUGGAGCACUUGAUCUGCUGCAGAGCUAACUGUGCCAGCAGCCUCUGAAGUUGGUGAAGUAAAGGUGGUACAAGGCUUGGUUUUUCGUGGAGGCUGUCCACAAAGGAGCUAAAGAAAGUAGCUUACCUCC